GCCAGGCAUGGUGGUGCGUGCCUGUAGUCCCAGCUACUCAGAAGGCUGAGGUGGGAGAAUCACUUGAGCCCAGGAGUUCUGGGCUGUAGUGCGCUAUGCCAAUCGGGUGUCCACACUAAGUUCGGCAUCAAUAUGGUGACCUCCCGGGACCGGGGAGCCACCAGGUUGCCUAAGGAGGGGUGAACCGGCCCAGGUCAGAAACGGAGCAGGUCAAACUCCCGUGCUUCAGUAGUGGGAUCGCGCCUGUUGAACAGCCACUGCACUCCAGCCUGGGCAACAUAGUGAGCCCCGUCUCU
rnacentral:SRP_RNA from 1 species